GCCAGACUCCUACGGGAGGCAGCAGUGGGGGAUAUUGCACAAUGGGGGGAACCCUGAUGCAGCGACGCCGCGUGGGUGAAGAAGUAUUUCGGUAUGUAAAGCCCUAUCGGCAGGGAAGAAUUUAGACGGUACCUGACUAGGAAGCCCCGGCUAACUACGUGCCAGCAGCCGCGGUAAUACGUAGGGGGCAAGCGUUAUCCGGAUUCACUGGGUGUAAAGGGAGCGUAGACGGCCAUGCAAGCCUGGAGUGAAAGCCCGGGGCCCAACCCCGGGACUGCUCUGGGAACUGUGCGGCUGGAGUGCGGGAGGGGCAGGCGGAAUUCCUGGUGUAGCGGUGAAAUGCGUAGAUAUCAGGAGGAACACCGGCGGCGAAGGCGGCCUGCUGGACCGUAACUGACGUUGAGGCUCGAAAGCGUGGGGAGCAAACAGGAUUAGAUACCCUCGUAC
rnacentral:rRNA from 1 species